rnacentral:misc_RNA from 1 species
GAUGAAGAACGCAGCGAAAUGCGAUAAGUAAUGUGAAUUGCAGAAUUCAGUGAAUCAUCGAAUCUUUGAACGCACAUUGCGCCCGCCAGUAUUCUGGCGGGCAUGCCUGUUCGAGCGUCAUUACAACCCUCAGGCCCCCGGGCCUGGCGUUGGGGAUCGGCGGAAGCCCCCUGCGGGCACAACGCCGUCCCCCAAAUACAGUGGCGGUCCCGCCGCAGCUUCCAUUGCGUAGUAGCCAACACCUCGCAACUGGAGAGCGGCGCGGCCACGCCGUAAAACACCCAACUUCUGAAUGUUGACCUCGAAUCAGGUAGGAAUACCCGCUGAACUUAAGCAUAUCAAUAAGCGGAGGA